CCUACGGGUGGCUGCAGUGGGGAAUAUUGGACAAUGGGCGAAAGCCUGAUCCAGCCAUGCCGCAUGUGUGAAGAAGGCCUUCGGGUUGUAAAGCACUUUCAGUGGGGAAGAAAGCCUUGGGGCUAAUACCCUCGAGGAAGGACAUCACCCACAGAAGAAGCACCGGCUAACUCCGUGCCAGCAGCCGCGGUAAUACGGAGGGUGCGAGCGUUAAUCGGAAUUACUGGGCGUAAAGCGCGCGUAGGCGGUCUGAUAAGCCGGUUGUGAAAGCCCCGGGCUCAACCUGGGAACGGCAUCCGGAACUGUCAGGCUAGAGUGCAGGAGAGGAAGGUAGAAUUCCCGGUGUAGCGGUGAAAUGCGUAGAGAUCGGGAGGAAUACCAGUGGCGAAGGCGGCCUUCUGGACUGACACUGACGCUGAGGUGCGAAAGCGUGGGUAGCAAACAGGAUUAGAUACCCCGGUAGUC
rnacentral:rRNA from 1 species